rnacentral:rRNA from 1 species
CCUACGGGAGGCAGCAGUGAGGAAUAUUGGUCAAUGGACGAGAGUCUGAACCAGCCAAGUAGCGUGAAGGAUGACUGCCCUAUGGGUUGUAAACUUCUAUUAUACAGGAAUAAAACGAGGCACGUGUGCCUUUUUGCAUGUACUUUAUGAAUAAGGAUCGGCUAACUCCGUGCCAGCAGCCGCGGUAAUACGGAGGAUCCGAGCGUUAUCCGGAUUUAUUGGGUUUAAAGGGAGCGUAGAUGGGUUGUUAAGUCAGUUGUGAAAGUUUGCGGCUCAACCGUAAAAUUGCAAUUGAUACUGGCAGUCUUGAGUACAGUUGAGGUAGGCGGAAUUCGUGGUGUAGCGGUGAAAUGCUUAGAUAUCACGAAGAACCCCGAUUGCGAAGGCAGCUUACGAAACUGUGACUGACAUUGAUGCUCGAAAGUGUGGGUAUCAAACAGGAUUAGAUACCCGAGUAGUC